GACGAACGCUGGCGGCGUGCUUAACACAUGCAAGUCACGGGGGCCCGCAAGGGCAACCGGCGAACGGGUGCGUAACACGUGAGCAACCUGCCUAUCUGCGGGGGAUAGCCGGCCCAACGGCCGGGUAAUACCGCAUACGUUCACGAGGGGACAUCCCCUUGUGAGGAAACUCCGGUGCAGAUAGAGGGGCUCGCGGCCUAUCAGCUAGUUGGUGAGGUAACGGCUCACCAAGGCGACGACGGGAGCUGGUCUGAGAGGAUGGCCAGCCACAUUGGGACUGCGACACGGCCCAGACUCCUACGGGAGGCAGCAGUGGGGAAUAUUGCGCAAUGGACGAAGUCUGACGCAGCGACGCCGCGUGUGGGAUGAAGCUCUUCGGGGUGUAAACCACUGUUGCCCGGGAAGAAUCUCCUGAUUCAUCAGGAUUGACGGUACCGGGUGAGGAAGCACCGGCUAACUCUGUGCCAGCAGCAGCC
rnacentral:rRNA from 1 species